rnacentral:piRNA from 1 species
UGAAAGGUCUAGCCAAAAAGUGAGGCCUU